UACGUAGGGUGCAAGCGUUAAUCGGAAUUAUUGGGCGUAAAGCGCGCGCAGGCGGUCCUUUAAGUCUGAUGUGAAAGCCCACGGCUCAACCGUGGAGGGUCAUUGGAAACUGGGGGACUUGAGUGCAGGAGAGAAGAGUGGAAUUCCACGUGUAGCGGUGAAAUACGUAGAGAUGUGGAGGAACACCAGUGGCGAAGGCGACUCUUUGGCCUGUAACUGACGCUGAGGCGCGAAAGCGUGGGGAGCAAACAGG
rnacentral:rRNA from 1 species